GACUUCAGCUUCUGGAGGUCUCUUUUGUCUAAAUAUUGUAAAGCCUGAGCAGAGGUCACACCCAGGUCUUCCUGAAGCUUAGGCAGCCAGUAGUCAACAGACAGUCCCACUUCUGUCAGCAUCUCCUGGAGAUCGUGCCUCCUUUUGCUUCUUAGCUGAGGCUCAUCAGGGAUGUACUUUGCUGAUGCCAUGGCUCUGUAAGGAACAGAUUGUAGUUAGUUUUGUCUGUGUCUUGACCUUAGGAAGUGUCAGCUGUGUGGUCUGAAAAGUGAAUUACUAAUGUUUCAACUCUCUUAGUCUUUUUGUCUCCUGUAAUUGUUCAAGUGUAUUUUAAAACAAGUCUCUCUCUCUCUCUCUCUCUCUCUCUCUCUCUCUCUCUCUCUCUCUUUCUCUCUCUCUCCUUCUCUCUCUCUCUCUUUCUCUCUCUCUCUUUGUGUGUGUGUGUGUGUGUGUGUGUGUGUGUGUGUGUGUGUGUGUGACAUGUUUUGUUGGAUACUAUGAUGAGUUGCCACUUUGCCUGAUGUCAUUUUUUUUCAAGACAGGGUUUCUUUGUGUAGCUAUGGUUGUUCUGGAAUUCACUCUGUAUACCAGACUGGUCCUGAACUUGAAGAUCUGCUUUCUUCUGCUCCUGAGUGCUGGUAGUAAAGGUGUCUACCACCAUUGCCUCACACUUUGCCUGAUUUUUAAACGUUCUCUUUCACAGAAUAAAUUGCUUUGAGGGAAUUAAUGUGAAGGAUAGUAUUUGAUUAAAUUCAUGAGUUUGCUUGGUUGAUGCUUUUAAAAACAAGUGAUAUUAUCAGGUGAUUAUGUUUUCCUUAUUAAUUUUUGUGUUGGCUUGUUCCAUUCCUAUUUCUUUGUCACCUUUUUCUUUCUCUUCAGGGUUUUACUUUGUAGCUCAGGCUGGCCCCAGAGCUUGUUAUUUAGCUUAGGAUGGACUCUAACUUUGUUGUUGUUUUUUUUUUCUUUUUCAUCUUGGCCUCCUGAGUGCUGGGAUUACCAGUGUGCAUCACCAUGCCUGGCUUUGUUAUGUUUUUGUAGGUCAUUUCAUAAUAUUGAAUUCUUCUCCUGGCAUUACAUAUACUACCAAUUUGUUUUCUUUCAUUAACUCUUAUUCAUUAUUCUUAUUUUGUUAAUAUCAUCUUUGAACAUAUGAAGACUAUUUACUAAUGGCAUCUGCACCUACAUAUAUAGCACAAAUACUCCUCUGUGUCCAAUAUUUUAUCAAUUUUAUGGAAAUCUCUCCCUUAUUGCCUCUAAAUCAUUCAGUGAGAUAAGACUUCAUGCUUCAUUUAUACUUAUUCAAGUUUCCUUGACUCCUAUCAUUUUUGUCCUACUGAAUUAUACUACCAUAUGUCCAGGCCAGCAAGUGUUCUAUUUAUUUCUUUUUUCCCUAAGUAUGAAUUUAGUGUACUACUAAUACUUAAUCUGCUCUCUUAAAUCUUACUUCAAUCUCAUUUUAUUUUGUACUCCCCUGGCAUGUCUCCUUUAGAUUUUGCCUUUUUUCAUGUUUCUUUUGCAUUGCAAUCAUAGUUAACCUAUUUGCUAUGAUUUGACUUUUGUCCUCCCUUAAGAUCACAUUAAAUUUAUCUGCCAUUAUACAUUAUUAAGAUGUGAGAUUUAUUCAUUUUUAAGAUAUGGUCUCACUAUGCCACUGUGGCUUGUCUGGAACUAGUUAUGAAGAUCAACCUGACUUUGAAUUCAGAGAUUCUGCCUCCUGGGCUGUGGGAUUAAAGGUGCAUAUUGUCAUGACUGACAAAAUGUCAUACUUUUGAAGAUGAGAUUAAUGCUGUUGUAAAAGAGCAAGUUUAGCUUCAUUUGCUUCAUUUGUAUCCCGAUGCUGGCUGGCUCCCUGAUAUUGAACUUCCUAACUCCGGGCUGGAUUAAAGUAACCUGUUACAACAAUCUAGGAGGGAUGAAGACAAAAUUGAUACCAGAGAAGUGGAAAGUGGGUUGUUGUUGUGACAGAGAUGUCAAAUUUUACAGAUAACCCUGGAGUUGGACAAUAGAGGCUGAAAGGAAUUGGAUGCACAGGCUAUGAAAGCUUAUAUUUACAUGAGUAAGAGUACAGAGGCAAUUCUGGUGAUGGCUCAGAAGGAAAGAUUUACAAGAGCUGGGGACCGAACCCAGGGCCUUGCGCUUCCUAGGCAAGCGCUCUACCGCUGAGCUAAAUCCCCAACCUUGACUACAUCUGGAAUUAGCUAAAACCCAAGCAACUGGUUACAACUUCAAAGAUUUUUAAAUUUAAAUAAUUUGAAAUGGGAAGACCCACUUUUAAUCAGAUCUUUUGAGAUGGGAAGAUGCAUCUUUAAAUACAGCUCUUUUGAAGUGGGAAGAUCCACCAUUAUCUGAGCCAUACCUUUUGUUGGGAGCCUAUGUAAAGGACAUGGCGUAAGGAAGCUUGCUCUUUGCCUCUUUACUUUUACUCUAGCUGAAAUGCAGGGAUAGAAAUGGAGAAGAGCCUGAGAAAAAGAAGGUCCAGUGACAGGCCCAAAGUUGGAUCCAGCUCAAGAGGAGGUCUCAAGACCUGACACCAUUACUGAGGCUAUGGGGCAUUCAUAAAAAGGGACCUACCAUGACUGCCCUCCAAAAAGACCCAACAAGCAGCGGAAAGAGUCAGAUGCAGAUAUCUGUAUUCAACCAAUGAACAGAAGAUGCUGACCCCUCUGGUUGAAUUAGGAAAAGCUGGAGGAAGCUGAGGAGGCCAACCCUGUAGGAGGACCAGCAGUCUCAAUUGACCUGGACCCCUGAGAUCUCUGACACUGGAUCACCAACCAGGCAGAGAACUCCCCGGUCUGGGUUCAGUCAGAGAAGAUGCACCUAACCCUCAAGAGACUGGAGACUCCAGGAACUUUAGAGAUGUAAUGGAGUGGAUAGGGUGGGGACAUCCUUGUGGAGACCGGGGGCGGGAUGAGGUAUGGGAUAUGGCAAUCUGGAAUGUAAAAAUAAAUAAAUUAAUUAAAAAUUGUAUUGUCUUUACACAAUGGAGUGCUACUCAGCUAUUAAAAACAUUGACUACAUGAUAUUCUUAGGCAAAUGGAUGGAACUAGAAAAUAUUCUGAGUGAUGUAACCCAGUCACAAAAGAACACACAUGGUAUGCACUCACUGACAAGUGGAUAUUAGCCCAAAAGCUUGGAAUACCUAUGAAAAAAUUCACAGAUCAUAUAAAGCUCAAGAAGAAGAAAGACCACAAUGUGGAUGCUUCAUUCCUUCUUAGAAGGGAGAACAAAAUAUUCACGGGAGGAAAUACAGGGAUAAAGAGUAAAGCAGGGACUGAAGAAAAGGUCAUCCAGAGACUGCCCCACCUGGGGAUCCAUCCCAUAAGCAGCCACCAAACCAGUUACUAUUGCUGAUGCCAAGAAGUGCUUGCUGACAGGAGCCUGAUAUGGAUGUCUUCUGAGAGGCUCUGCCAGAGCCUUACUGAUUCAGAUGAGGAUGCUUGCAGCUAAUCAUCAGACUAAGCACAGAGACCCCAAAGGGGGAGUUAGAGAAAGAACUGAAGGCACUGAAGGGGUUUGCAACACCAUAGGAAGAACAACAAUAUCAACCAAUGAGACCCCACCAGAGCUCCCAGGGACUAAACCACCAACCAAUGAGUAUACAUGGAGGGAUCCAUGGCUCCAACCACAUAUGUAGCAGAGGAUGGCCUUGUCCAGAAUCAAUAGGAGGAAAAGCCCUUGGUCUUGUGAAGGCUAUUUCCCUGAUGUAGGCGAGUGCCAGGGUGUUCAGGUGGGAGUGUGUGGGUGGGAGUGAGAGCAUCCUCAUAGAACCAGGGGGAGCAGGA